AGUUGGUGAUGGACAGAGAAGCCUGCAGUCCAUGGAGUUUCAAAGAGUCAGACACGGCUGAACAACUGAACUGACUGAACUGAACUGAAUACCUAAUAUAGUGGCUGGCUCAUAGCAGGCUUUCUAUUUAUUGAACUAUAUUGUUAAAUUACAGCAGUACAUUAACCUUACUCAUCUCUCUCAUGGUUUAGUAUACUUUGAUCAUAUCCUUCUUUCUACAGACUGAAAAAAACAACUAGAAAAUCCUUCCAACACUUUGAUCAAUUUAGGUUGGCUUCUGGGGAUUUGUAUCAGCUGUUAAGUUUUUCUUGAUGAGCAGCCACCAGGAUUACCUAUAUGAUUGUGAAUGCAAAUCCACUUUUCGUCUUUUACAGGGAAAUGAUAAGAGUUUUGUUUCAUCAUUGUUUUCAACACUCUUCCUGUUAAUGCCCACCAUAUUCUUGGCUUUUAGGACCACAGUCACAACUGGGCCAGCUUCUUCACAGAUUCAUAAACAGUGAUUUUUAUUUUACUCUAACAAUAAUAUUGUGUAUUAUCUGACUCAGAGACUGAUGUGAUGUAUUUAUAAUAAUUCCUGGGAUCAUCUCCAGUGAGUAUCCAGAUAAACCUCCAGAUACUCAGCUACUCCAGCUGUAGGAGACUGGCAUGAUUCCAGAAGGUCCACAGUGACCCUUUCAUUUUUUAUCACGAACAACUGUCUCCACUCGGGAGGCUUUUCUAAUAAGUCCCUAGGAGAAUUUUGUUGAUCUCUCUGCUAUGUAUCCUGACUGCCCUAAUUUCCUUCUGUAUUCUGUUUUUAAAGUUUUAAAAUUGAAAGAUGUCAUACAUACAUCUUCAGUGACUUCUAGAUCCCUUUCUUGAGUCAUAACUGAGCCCAUCCUCUCAUAGCAUGGAUAGGUUUGCAUGACCUUAUACAAUGAAGUACCUGUGACUAGUCUCCCUACUUGGUCUCAUGAGAUCUUCCUGCAAUUUAUUCUUAUCAGUUUG
rnacentral:lncRNA from 1 species